rnacentral:rRNA from 1 species
CCUACGGGAGGCAGCAGUGAGGAAUAUUGGUCAAUGGCCGGAAGGCUGAACCAGCCAAGCCGCGUGAAGGACGAAGGUGCCAAGCAUUGUAAACUUCUUUUGUCAAGGGACAAAAUCAGGCUCGAGAGCCUGACCGAGGGUACUUGAAGAAAAAGCAUCGGCUAACUCCGUGCCAGCAGCCGCGGUAAUACGGAGGAUGCGAGCGUUAUCCGGAUUUAUUGGGUUUAAAGGGUGCGUAGGCGGAAUGCCAAGUCAGCGGUAAAAUCGCGGGGCUCAACCUCGCUCCGCCGUUGAAACUGGCGUUCUUGAGUGGGCGAGAAGUAUGCGGAAUGCGUGGUGUAGCGGUGAAAUGCGUAGAUAUACAGAGGAACACCAGUGGCGAAGGCGGAUUGCUGGACAGUAACUGACGCUGAGGCGCGAAAGCGUGGGGAGCAAACAGGAUUAGAUACCCUGGUAGUC